rnacentral:rRNA from 1 species
GAGCGCUCUUGGGGCUUCGGUUUCAAGGGAGUGGCGCACGGGUGAGUAGCGCGUGGGAACCUGCCCUGUUGUGGGGGAUAACCGAGGGAAACUUCGGCUAAUACCGCAUACGCCCGAGGAGCGAUCUUCGGGGAAAGAUUGAUCGCAGCAGGAGGGGCCCGCGUCGGAUUAGCUAGUUGGUGGGGUAACGGCCCACCAAGGCAGUGAUCCGUAGCUGGUCUGAGAGGAUGAUCAGCCACACUGGGACUGAGACACGGCCCAGACUCCUACGGGAGGCAGCAGUGGGGAAUAUUGGACAAUGGGGGCAACCCUGAUCCAGCAAUGCCGCGUGAGUGAUGAAGGCCUUCGGGUUGUAAAGCUCUUUCGCCCGCGACGAUGAUGACGGUAGCGGGAGAAGAAGCCCCGGCUAACUUCGUGCCAGCAGCCGCGGUAAUACGAAGGGGGCGAGCGUUGUUCGGAUUUACUGGGCGUAAAGGGCGCGUAGGCGGCGUGGGAAGUCAGGCGUGAAAGCCCCGGGCUCAACCUGGGAACUGCGCUUGGGACUCUCAGGCUGGAGUUCGGGAGAGGAGCGUGGAAUUCCCAGUGUAGAGGUGAAAUUCGUAGAUAUUGGGAAGAACACCGGUGGCGAAGGCGGCGCUCUGGACCGAAACUGACGCUGAGGCGCGAAAGCGUGGGGA